UACGUAGGGGGCGAGCGUUAUCCGGAUUUACUGGGCGUAAAGCGCGUUAAGGCGGUUGGCAAAGUUGGUUGUGAAAAUCUCAGGGCUUAACCCUGAAAUUGCGACCAAUACUGGUCGACUAGAGUGUGAGAGAGGAAGGUGGAAUUCCCGGUGUAGUAGUGAAAUGCGUAGAUAUCGGGAGGAACACCAGUGGCGAAGGCGGCCUUCUGGCUCAUAACUGACGCUGAGAUGCGAAGCGUCGGGGAGCGAACGGG
rnacentral:rRNA from 1 species